GCCUCUUUGCUGAUCGGCCAGCAUUUUCAAACCACAAAGGAUGACGGCAAAACCGUAAACAAUUAUUUUUGCUGGGAAUAUCUCUUAAUCAAAAACACUUGCGGCCAGGAAACCUUCAAGAUAUUUUUUUAUUAUAUAAAUACGAGACAGUGAAAAAAAGUGAAAUCUGAAUAACGUUGAAAUCGUCGUGCAGUAUAAAUGAGAAAAUCUUUCACCUUCGGGAAGAGACGGACGUAACGGGGAAGUGACCCAGAGCCGGAGCCACGCCCCCUCGCCCAAACUCAGCACUCGCUUGCUGGUGUUCAUGGGUGGCUGGCUUUAGAGAUUUGACUACACAAUAAAAUCUAAAAAGCCUCCCAGCAGGCAAAAUACUGGGUCAAUAUUUUUUUUAUUGUUUUUUUCAAAGUAGAAAAAAUGGAAGUGUAAGUUAGCGUGUAUUUCUGAGGAUAAGGAAUUGUUAAAAUUAAUAUCUUAAU